GCUAUAAGCAACACCGCAUAAAGCUCUGAAACUUGCCGCAUUCAAAUUUAACGAAAUGUUUGUUAUUUUGUUGAAAAUCCGGCGGAAUUUUAAAGAAAUGUUUCUGAUAAAACGAAUUUUAAACUAAAUUGUGACACUGUGAGUUGAAAAAUUAGUAUUUGUUUAUCUGUGUUGUACUGUUAUCUGAGAUAGUGGACAAUAUUUUGAUUUGUGCUAAAACAGACUUUUCUGAUGUCCAGUUUGGAUUCUAAACAGAUAAGAUUUAAUAAUUUUUUAGGAAAAAUAAAGUACAUCAGUGCAUUUAUUGCCGCUACACAACUGUGAACAAGACAGACUUAACAAGACACAUCAGAAUUCAUACUGGGGAAAAACCUUUUCAAUGUGGCAAGUGUAACAAACGCUUCAGUAGAAAGACUUCCUUAAAAUCUCAUAUGAUUACUCACUAUAAGCAACAUCUCGUUUAAAUUUUGUCCUUCAAAAUGUUUGUUAUGUGUCUCAAUAACUUGUUAUGUUUCAAUAACUCAUUUUACUUGUUAUGGGUGCUUGAAAAAAUUUUGUUCAAAUUUCCAAGAUGUGUAGAAUGAAAAAAAAAAGAUUACCUUAAUUAGUAAACUUUUUCAUCUGAUGAUCAAAUUUUCAUUUACUGAUACUCAAUCGUAAUGGUUCAAGGACUUAACCCUGAAUAUGCCAAUUAAUUUGAGCUGACAAUAUUUUAAGUAAUGAAAUCAGACACAAAUACAUGUUUUCACUGAAUGAAACAUGGAUUUUUACAACAGAUUCAAAUUCUUAACCCUCAAAAUAUAGGGACAGCUAUAAUCUGGAAAUUAUGGUUUGAUCAAGAAAGAGGAGGGUCGAAAUUUUGACCUAUGGUGAUUUCCUUUUUUCUCAUUUUUCGUCUUUUUGUAAAAAAAUUUUUGAGCAUGACUAUUAAACUUGCUUACCUUAAGAUAAUUCAAUGAAAAAAAUAACUAUUUAUAAUAUUACCUAUUAGUUUUAAUAAUCAGCUAAAAAAUGUUAAAUUUUAAGGUAUACAAAUUUUUAUACUAUUUUAGCUUUCAAUGGCAAAUUUUAAAUUUGUCGAAAUUCUGUCCUUAAAUAAGAGGUAUGUCUUCUUUGAGGUGGUGAAUAAUGCAAAAAGAGAAAUAAUCAUUAAAGGGUCCAACUAUUUGAUCUCACUCUUGACCAAACUAUUUGAACUUGAUUACCAGAUUGUUGCUACUAUCAAGAUUCUGAAUCUGUUGAAGAGAUGUAUAUUUAUUCUAAGAAAGAGUGUUUUGACUUUGUAAGUUCAAAAUUGUAUGCCAAUUUAAUAAGCAUAUUUAAGGUAGGCCAUGAAGCUGUUAAGAUUGAGUCCUAGUUUUUUGGUUCUUGCUUUUUUUUUUUUCCAUUUAUUUUAAGAACACUGUAAAUUUGUAGCACUUUUUGUGAUUGCUUUUGUUAUUAAAUUAGUUGUGACUUACUUCAUUUUUGAAGAAACUAAAGCUAAAUCAAAAUAUUAGAAUAAAAACAUAAUUUUUGUGCUGAAAGUUUGACCCUCCACUUGUUACGGCCCUGAGGAAAAUUCGCCUCAAUCAUCCUGUGAGAACCGUUGAAUUGAAGAACCUCAAUGAAUUGAAUCAUGAAGGUCAGCCUCAUUGAAGUAAGAAAAAUUCUAUGACUUAGGCAGGAUAGCUGUGCUAGCAAUAUUCCAAUUUUGAAGGGGAAAAUUAAAAAUACUAUAACCCGUUUCAUUGCCAAAGAAAACUGAAAGGUUAAAGCCAAAAAUUAGAAACACUAGUGUUAUCAGGCAAUUAAACUGAUCUUGGUAUUUUAAUCCUAGUUUUCUAUUACUGAUUUUUAUUACAGUUUUUUUUCUGAUUCAAUUAUUAUUUUGGUACCUGUAGUGUGUAUAUUUUUUUACUUUACUUUUGAGAAAUGCUGUAAAAAUGAUUUUUAAGGGCAGUCAUUAUGGCACACACUGUAUUUCUAUUUGGUAACUAAUUAUGUUAAAGGAUUAAUUUAAGGAAUAAAAUUGAUUGUAAGUUUUAAAUAAUUUUUAAUUCUUAUUACGCCUUGUUUAAAAAAAUUAUUUUAUUUCUUUAUUUUUAUUUAUCUAUAAUACAAUUUAAGACACAAAUACAAAAGCAAUAAAAACCGAAAAAAAAGUAUUAGCUAUAAAAUAGAUCUUCUGCUUCCCUGAUACUUUUAGUUUUCUUAUGAGGUAAUAACUAAUUUUAUUUCAUCUUAAAAUAUUUUUUUCAUAUCUAUGAACUUUGUUUGAGAAGAGGAAUGUGACAAACUUGGCAACAAAUCAUUAAAGAUUUAAUUCAUCGAAUAAUUUACUUUAUAAUAUGCUUGAAAAUUU